GGCGGCGUGCCUAACACAUGCAAGUCGUACGAGAAAGCCGGCUUCGGCUGGUGAGUAAAAGUGGCGCACGGGUGAGUAACGCGUGGAUAAUCUGCCCUUAAGUGUGGAAUAACGUACCGAAAGGUGCGCUAAUACCGCAUAAUGCCUGGCAACACAAGUUGUCCGGCCAAAGAAGGCCUCUGUUUACAAGCUUUCGCUUCAGGAUGAGUCCGCGUACCAUUAGCUUGUUGGUGGGGUAAUGGCCUACCAAGGCUGCGAUGGUUAGCUGGUCUGAGAGGAUGAUCAGCCACACUGGAACUGAGACACGGUCCAGACUCCUACGGGAGGCAGCAGUGAGGAAUAUUGCGCAAUGGGGGCAACCCUGACGCAGCAACGCCGCGUGAGUGAGGAAGGUUUUCGGACUGUAAAGCUCUGUCGAGCGGGAAGAAGUGUACCAUGGCUAAUAUCCAUGAUAUUUGACGGUACCGCUAGAGGAAGCACCGGCUAACUCCGUG
rnacentral:rRNA from 1 species